GAUGAACGCUGGCGGCGUGCCUAAUACAUGCAAGUCGAGCGAACAGACGAGGAGCUUGCUCCUCUGACGUUAGCAGCGGACGGGUGAGUAACACGUGGAUAACCUACCUAUAAGACUGGGAUAACUUCGGGAAACCGGAGCUAAUACCGGAUAAUAUUUUGAACCGCAUGGUUCAAUAGUGAAAGACGGUUUUGCUGUCACUUAUAGAUGGAUCCGCGCCGCAUUAGCUAGUUGGUAAGGUAACGGCUUACCAAGGCAACGAUGCGUAGCCGACCUGAGAGGGGGAUCGGCCACACGGGAACUGAGACACGGUCCAGAUUCCUACGGGAGGCAGCAGUAGGGAAUCUUCCGCAAUGGGCGAAAGCCUGACGGAGCAACGCCGCGUGAGUGAUGAAGGUCUUCGGAUCGUAAAACUCUGUUAUUAGGGAAGAACAAAUGUGUAAGUAACUAUGCACGUCUUGACGGUACCUAAUCAGAAAGCCACGGCUAACUACGUG
rnacentral:rRNA from 1 species